UGGCGGACGGGUGAGUAAUGUCUGGGAAACUGCCCGAUGGGGGGGGAUAACUACUGGAAACGGUAGCUAAUACCGCAUAACGUCGCAGGACCAAAGAGGGGGACCUUCGGGCCUCUUGCCAUCGGAUGUGCCCAGAUGGGAUUAGCUAGUAGGUGGGGUAACGGCUCACCUAGGCGACGAUCCCUAGCUGGUCUGAGAGGAUGACCAGCCACACUGGAACUGAGACACGGUCCAG
rnacentral:rRNA from 1 species